rnacentral:rRNA from 1 species
UAAUACGUAGGGGGCAAGCGUUGUCCGGAAUCAUUGGGCGUAAAGAGCGUGUAGGCGGCCCGAUAAGUCUGCCGUGAAAGUCCAGGGCUCAACCCUGGAAUGCCGGUGGAAACUGUCGGGCUGGAGUCCGGAAGAGGCGAGUGGAAUUCCUGGUGUAGCGGUGAAAUGCGCAGAUAUCAGGAGGAACACCGAUGGCGAAGGCAGCUCGCUGGGACGGUACUGACGCUGAGACGCGAAAGCGUGGGGAGCAAACAGGA